rnacentral:rRNA from 2 species
GCGGCGUGCUAUACAUGCAGUCGAACGCACUCUCGUUAGAUUGAAGAAGCUUGCUUCUGAUUGAUAACAUUUGAGUGAGUGGCGGACGGGUGAGUAACACGUGGGUAACCUGCCCUAAAGUGGGGGAUAACAUUUGGAAACAGAUGCUAAUACCGCAUAAAACCUAGCACCGCAUGGUGCAAGGUUGAAAGAUGGUUUCGGCUAUCACUUUAGGAUGGACCCGCGGUGCAUUAGUUAGUUGGUGAGGUAAAGGCUCACCAAGACCGUGAUGCAUAGCCGACCUGAGAGGGUAAUCGGCCACACUGGGACUGAGACACGGCCCAGACUCCUACGGGAGGCAGCAGUAGGGAAUCUUCCACAAUGGACGAAAGUCUGAUGGAGCAACGCCGCGUGAGUGAAGAAGGUUUUCGGAUCGUAAAACUCUGUUGUUGGAGAAGAACGUAUUUGAUAGUAACUGAUCAGGUAGUGACGGUAUCCAACCAGAAAGCCACGGCUAACUACGUGCCAGCAGCCGCGGUAAUACGUAGGUGGCAAGCGUUGUCCGGAUUUAUUGGGCGUAAAGCGAGCGCAGGCGGUUUCUUAAGUCUGAUGUGAAAGCCUUCGGCUCAACCGAAGAAGUGCAUCGGAAACUGGGAAACUUGAGUGCAGAAGAGGACAGUGGAACUCCAUGUGUAGCGGUGAAAUGCGUAGAUAUAUGGAAGAACACCAGUGGCGAAGGCGGCUGUCUGGUCUGUAACUGACGCUGAGGCUCGAAAGCAUGGGUAGCAAACAGGAUUAGAUACCCUGGUAGUCCAUGCCGUAAACGAUGAGUGCUAGGUGUUGGAGGGUUUCCGCCCUUCAGUGCCGCAGCUAACGCAUUAAGCACUCCGCCUGGGGAGUACGACCGCAAGGUUGAAACUCAAAGGAAUUGACGGGGGCCCGCACAAGCGGUGGAGCAUGUGGUUUAAUUCGAAGCAACGCGAAGAACCUUACCAGGUCUUGACAUCCUUUGACCACUCUAGAGAUAGAGCUUU